UACGUAGGUGGCAAGCGUUGUCCGGAAUUAUUGGGCGUAAAGCGCGCGCAGGCGGUCCUUUAAGUCUGAUGUGAAAGCCCACGGCUCAACCGUGGAGGGUCAUUGGAAACUGUGGGACUUGAGUGCAGAAGAGGAAAGCGGAAUUCCACGUGUAGCGGUGAAAUGCGUAGAGAUGUGGAGGAACACCAGUGGCGAAGGCGGCUUUCUGGUCUGUAACUGACGCUGAGGCGCGAAAGCGUGGGGAGCAAACAGG
rnacentral:rRNA from 1 species